rnacentral:misc_RNA from 1 species
AAGUCGUAACAAGGUUUCCGUAGGUGAACCUGCGGAAGGAUCAUUACCAAUAUAGCGAACCGAGCGUUAGCGAGGCUUCGCGAUCAAAUUGUAUUUAAAACCCAACUCUUUAAAUGUAUAUUAUUAUUGUAUUCUAAAUAAUAAAAGAUCACUUUCAACAACGGAUCUCUUGGUUCUC